UACGUAGGGUGCAAGCGUUGUCCGGAAUUAUUGGGCGUAAAGAGCUUGUAGGCAGUUUGUCGCGUCUGCUGUGAAAUUUCGGGGCUCAACCCCGAACUUGUGUGGUGGUACGGGCAGACUAGAGUGUGGUAGGGGGAGACUGGAAUUCCUGGUGUAGCGGUGAAAUGCGCAGAUAUCAGGAGGAACACCGAUGGCGAAGGCAGGUCUCUGGGCCACUACUGACGCUGAGAAGCGAAAGCAUGGGGGAGCGAAACAGG
rnacentral:rRNA from 1 species